rnacentral:pre_miRNA from 1 species
CAAAUACUCCCUCUGUCUGGAAAUACUUGUCAUCAAAAUGGAUAAAAGGAAAUAUAUCUAGACGUAUUUUAGUUUUAGAUACAUCUCUUUUUAUGCAUUUUGAUGACAAGUAUUUUCGGACGGAGGGAGUAGAAA